CGCGUAGGUGGCUUGGCAAGCGCGUGGUGAAAGCCCGGGGCUCAACCCCGGGUCUGCCGUGCGAACUGCUAUGGCUUGAGCACUGUAGAGGCAGGUAGAAUUCCGGGUGUAGCGGUGGAAUGCGUAGAGAUCCGGAAGAAUACCGGUGGCGAAGGCGGCCUGCUGGGCAGUGGCUGACACUGAGGCGCGACAGCGUGGGGAGCAAACAGGAUUAGAUACCCUGGUAGUCCACGCCGUAAACGAUGGGCACUAGGUGCUUGGGGGAGCGACCCUCUGAGUGCCGUCGCUAACGCAGUAAGUGCCCCGCCUGGGGAGUACGGCCGCAAGGCUGAA
rnacentral:rRNA from 1 species